AUUCCAAGCGCCUGCCCUCGCUGCGGCGAGGUAACGAGGAAGAGGGAUCAUCGAAACUGUCGGCGGGUGCCCUCUCGGCUACUCACAGUCGUGAUGGGGUGAGUAAAUUCCGAGGGUGACUUCGGGGACAGAGAU
rnacentral:ncRNA from 1 species